AUUGAACGCUGGCGGCAGGCCUAACACAUGCAAGUCGAGCGGAUGAAGGGAGCUUGCUCCUGGAUUCAGCGGCGGACGGGUGAGUAAUGCCUAGGAAUCUGCCUGGUAGUGGGGGAUAACGUCCGGAAACGGGCGCUAAUACCGCAUACGUCCUGAGGGAGAAAGGGGGGGAUCUUCGGACCUCACGCUAUCAGCUGAGCCUAGGUCGGAUUAGCUAGUUGGUGGGGUAAAGGCCUACCAAGGCGACGAUCCGUAACUGGUCUGAGAGGAUGAUCAGUCACACUGGAACUGAGACACGGUCCAGACUCCUACGGGAGGCAGCAGUGGGGAAUAUUGGACAAUGGGCGAAAGCCUGAUCCAGCCACGCCGCGUGUGUGAAGAAGGUCUUCGGAUUGUAAAGCACUUUAAGUUGGGAGGAAGGGAAGUAAGUUAAUACCUUGCUGUUUUGACGUUACCAACAGAAUAAGCACCGGCUAACUUCGUG
rnacentral:rRNA from 1 species